GAUGAAGAACUUAGCGAAAUGCGAUAAGUAAUGUGAAUUGCAGAAUUCAGUGAAUCAUCGAAUCUUUGAACGCACCUUGCGCCCCUUGGUUAUUCCAAAGGGCAUGCCUGUUUGAGUAUCAUGAACACCUCAACUCUUGUGGUUUCCCACAAUGAGCUUGGACUGUGGAGGUUUUGUUGGCCCUGUGGUCAGCUCCUCUCAAAUGGAUCAGCUUACCGGUGUUUGGUGGCAUUACGGGUGUGAUUACUAUCUACGCUCGUGGUCGUCUCCAAAUAACCUCCAGUGAUGGAGGUUCGCUGGAGCUUAUAAAUGUCUCUCCCCAGUGAAGACAGCCUUUGAACGUUCGAUCUCAAAUCAGGUAGGACUACCCGCUGAACUUAAGCAUAUCAAUAAGCGGAGGA
rnacentral:misc_RNA from 1 species